GCAAAAGAAGUCGUGACAGAUGAUCCUGGAAGGGAAUGAAUGGGCAUCUGCAAGAAGAAAGCAUAAGGUAAGACCAGGCAGAAAGUGGAAAAUAAAGGCCCAAAAGUUAUGAAAACUUACAGCAACAAUGGGAGGCUUCUGGGGACUGGUAACCGCUGCCAGGACGCCAACAGCUUUAGGCACUUCUACCUGAAAAGGCUACGACAGUUAAAAAUAAAGAACAAGGCAGAAAUGCAGGAGAGUGUGGACAGAUAAGAAAGAAAGUUACCACAACCACGGGGGCAGCGGCGGUUGUUUCCACUUCAGCCUCCGGAACCACAAUAGACAGUUCUGCCUGAUCCACAGGCUCUGAUGCAGACCGCUCCGCCUGAUCCUCAGCCGCUGGAACGGCAGUAGAAUGCUCUGCCUCGGCAUCCUCAAAUAGGGCUAGUUCUGAGCUAGUCAGCUCAGCCCUUGGACCCCCUUGUUGCUUCUGCGCCAAGGCAAUGC
rnacentral:lncRNA from 1 species